AGCCCGCUCAGGUGUGCCAGCCGCCGCGGUAAUACGUAGGUGGCAAGCGUUAUCCGGAUUUAUUGGGCGUAAAGGGAACGCAGGCGGUCUUUUAAGUCUGAUGUGAAAGCCUUCGGCUUAACCGGAGUAGUGCAUUGGAAACUGGGAGACUUGAGUGCAGAAGAGGAGAGUGGAACUCCAUGUGUAGCGGUGAAAUGCGUAGAUAUAUGGAAGAACACCAGUGGCGAAAGCGGCUCUCUGGUCUGUAACUGACGCUGAGGUCCGAAAGCGUGGGUAGCAAACAGG
rnacentral:rRNA from 1 species